rnacentral:miRNA from 1 species
UCACCGGCGCUUUUUCGACGAG